rnacentral:rRNA from 1 species
CGUGCCUAAACAUGCAAGUCGCACGAGAAAGUGGAGCAAUCCAUGAGUAAAGUGGCGCACGGGUGAGUAACACGUGAAUGAUCUACCUCCGAGUGGGGAAUAACCUAGAGAAAUCUGGGCUAAUACCGCAUAACACUUACGAGUCAAAGCAGCAAUGCGCUUGGAGAGGAGUUCGCGGCCGAUUAGUUAGUUGGCGGGGUAAUGGCCCACCAAGACGAUGAUCGGUAUCCGGCCUGAGAGGGCGCACGGACACACUGGAACUGAAACACGGUCCAGACUCCUACGGGAGGCAGCAGUGGGGAAUUUUGCGCAAUGGGGGAAACCCUGACGCAGCAACGCCGCGUGGAGGAUGAAAUCCCUUGGGAUGUAAACUCCUUUCGAUCGGGACGAUUAUGACGGUACCGGAAGAAGAAGCCCCGGCUAACUUCGUGCCAGCAGCCGCGGUAAUACGAGGGGGGCAAGCGUUGUUCGGAAUUAUUGGGCGUAAAGGGCGCGUAGGCGGUUUGACAAGCCUGAUGUGAAAUCUCUGGGCUCAACUCA